GCUUCGGUGGUGCAGUGGUAGCAAGCGUCCCCGAUAUGAUUGAAACGCGGGUUCGACUCCCGCCUGAUGUC